GAGUAACAUGAUGUGAUUUCAUUUGUUAAUGAAUCUCAUUCUUACUAAUACAUGGAGAGUGGAUUGGAGGCCAGAGUGGAAGUAGAGACCAGUUGAAAAGGCAGUAAUAAUGUUUGGAGUUGGUCGGAGAAGACCCUUUCCCAUUCUCUUUUGCUCCAGACCUUCCCAAAACGCAACCACUCAAGUUUUACAGGGUAAUUUUGGAGAAUGUCCCAUGUAUCCAAGAAUGUGUUUUCUGCAGCUGCUGCAUAAAAUGUGUUGGUGCAAACAAAACAUGUCUGCGGUGGUCAACAGAAAGGCAAAUUAUUCCUGGAUGGAAUCGAUAAAAUUUGGAGGUAGAUAAAAAUGCAAUGCAGAUAUAAAAACUGA